rnacentral:rRNA from 1 species
CCUCGGGGUGCAGCAGUGGGGAAUAUUGGACAAUGGGCGAAAGCCUGAUCCAGCCAUGCCGCGUGUGUGAAGAAGGCCUUCGGGUUGUAAAGCACUUUCAGUGGGGAAGAAAGCCUUGGGGCUAAUACCCUCGAGGAAGGACAUCACCCACAGAAGAAGCACCGGCUAACUCCGUGCCAGCAGCCGCGGUAAUACGGAGGGUGCGAGCGUUAAUCGGAAUUACUGGGCGUAAAGCGCGCGUAGGCGGUCUGAUAAGCCGGUUGUGAAAGCCCCGGGCUCAACCUGGGAACGGCAUCCGGAACUGUCAGGCUAGAGUGCAGGAGAGGAAGGUAGAAUUCCCGGUGUAGCGGUGAAAUGCGUAGAGAUCGGGAGGAAUACCAGUGGCGAAGGCGGCCUUCUGGACUGACACUGACGCUGAGGUGCGAAAGCGUGGGUAGCAAACAGGAUUAGAUACCCUGGUAGUC